UGAUGGAGACUUAACGAUAACAAUGCUGGA
rnacentral:piRNA from 1 species